AAGAAGCAGAAGAAGAGGCUCCCUCAGGGUUCCGCCGGCUGCUCCCUUUUAGGUUUGUGCGGUCAUCAGCGACGCCGCCUUCUUGAAGCCCCGAAAGUGCUCUCCAGGCUACUUCGGCGUUGAGGCCGCCUCUUGGUCAGGUGACUCAUUCUAGCGGCAUUCGAGGUUACUCGAAAAAGGCAUUGCGGGGUGACGACCCAGUGGUCAAGCCUCGAGAUACACUCCACGCACCUGCUUCCUAAUAACGAGCUGACAGUCAAGCCGGGCGAUGGGAGACCCUUACGGCUACGGCGACGAGUCAAACAUGCUGUACAGUCAAGACGACGCGCUGACGGAGCAAGAAUCAUCAGCCGUCGAAUACAGCCAGGUUUCGC